CCUACGGGGGGCAGCAGUGAGGAAUAUUGGUCAAUGGGCGCGAGCCUGAACCAGCCAAGUCGCGUGAGGGAUGAAGGUACAGAGUAUCGUAAACCUCUUUUGUCAGGGAACAAAGGCGGGGACGCGUCCCCGGAUGAGUGUACCUGAAGAAAAAGCAUCGGCUAACUCCGUGCCAGCAGCCGCGGUAAUACGGAGGAUGCGAGCGUUAUCCGGAUUUAUUGGGUUUAAAGGGUGCGCAGGCGGUCUGUUAAGUCAGCGGUCAAAGCCCGGGGCUCAACCCCGGCCCGCCGUUGAAACUGGCAGUCUCGAGUUGGAGAGAAGUAUGCGGAAUGCGCGGUGUAGCGGUGAAAUGCAUAGAUAUCGCGCAGAACUCCGAUUGCGAAGGCAGCAUGCCGGCUCCACACUGACGCUGAGGCACGAAAGCGUGGGUAUCGAACAGGAUUAGAUACCCUAGUAGUC
rnacentral:rRNA from 1 species